UACGUAGGGUGCGAGCGUUGUCCGGAAUUAUUGGGCGUAAAGAGCUUGUAGGCGGUCUGUCGCGUCUGCUGUGAAAAUCCGGGGCUCAACCCCGGACUUGCAGUGGGUACGGGCAGACUAGAGGUGUGGUAGGGGAGACUGGAAUUCCUGGUGAUAGCGGUGAAAUGCGCAGAUAUCAGGAGGAACACCGAGUGGCGAAGGCAGAUC
rnacentral:rRNA from 1 species